rnacentral:rRNA from 1 species
UACGUAGGGGGCUAGCGUUGUCCGGAAUCAUUGGGCGUAAAGCGCGUGUAGGCGGUCCGGUAAGUCCGCUGUGAAAGUCGGGGGCUCAUCCCUCGGAUGCCGGUGGAUACUGUCGGGCUUGAGUACGGAAGAGGCGAGUGGAAUUCCUGGUGUAGCGGUGAAAUGCGCAGAUAUCAGGAGGAACACCAAUUGCGAAGGCAGCUCGCUGGGACGUUACUGACGCUGAGACGCGAAAGCGUGGGGAGCAAACAGG